ACAGUGGACGCGAGCAUCUGUGGCCAAGUUUUUAAGGGCGCACGGUGGAUGCCUUGGCACCAGGAACCGAUGAAGGACGUGGGAGGCCACGAUAGUCCCGGGAGCCGUCAACCAGGCUUUGAUCCGGGGUUUCGAAUGGGAAACCGGCAGUCGUCAUGGGCUGUCACCCGCUGCUGAACACAUAGGCAGUGUGGAGGAACGAGGGAAGUGAAACAUCUCAGUACCCUCAGGAAGAGAAACAACCGUGAUUCCGGGAGUAGUGGCGAGCGAAACCGGAUGAGGCCAAACCGUAUGCGUGUGAUACCCGGCAGGGGUUGCGCAUACGGGUUGUGGAUUGCACUUCAACAGUCUGCCGGCUGUUGGGCAAGUCAGAAACCGUUGAUGUAGGCGAAGGACAUGCGAAAGGUCCGGCGUAGAGGUAAGACCCCCGUAGCUGAAACAUCAACGGCUUGCUUGUGCGACACCCAAGUAGCACGGGGCCCGAGAAAUCCCGUGUGAAUCUGGCGGGACCACCCGUUAAGCCUAAAUAUUCCCUGGUGACCGAUAGCGGAUAGUACCGUGAGGGAAUGGUGAAAAGUACCGCGGGAGCGGAGUGAAAUAGUACCUGAAACCGUGUGCCUACAAGCCGUGGGAGCGUCGCUCAUUGAGUUUACUCAAUGGGUCGUGACUGCGUGCCUUUUGAAGAAUGAGCCUGCGAGUUAGCGGUGUAGCGAGGUUAACCCGUGUGGGGAAGCCGUAGCGAAAGCGAGUCCGAACAGGGCGAUUGAGUUGCACGCUCUAGACCCGAAGCGAGGAUCUAGCCAUGGGCAGGUUGAAGCGGAGGUAAGACUUCGUGGAGGACCGAACCCACCAGGGUUGAAAACCUGGGGGAUGACCUGUGGUUAGGGGUGAAAGGCCAAUCAAACUCCGUGAUAGCUGGUUCUCCCCGAAAUGCAUUUAGGUGCAGCGUCGUGUGUUUCUUGCCGGAGGUAGAGCACUGGAUAGGCGAUGGGCCCUACCGGGUUACUGACCUUAGCCAAACUCCGAAUGCCGGUAAGUGAGAGCACGGCAGUGAGACUGUGGGGGAUAAGCUCCAUGGUCGAGAGGGAAACAGCCCAGAGCAUCGACUAAGGCCCCUAAGCGUACGCUAAGUGGGAAAGGAUGUGGAGUCGCAGAGACAACCAGGAGGUUGGCUUAGAAGCAGCCACCCUUGAAAGAGUGCGUAAUAGCUCACUGGUCAAGUGAUUCCGCGCCGACAAUGUAGCGGGGCUCAAGCGUACCGCCGAAGUCGUGUCAUUUCAGCAUAUAGGGCCAACGCCCGCUGGGAUGGGUAGGGGAGCGUCGUGUGCCGGGUGAAGCCGCGCCGGAAGGCAGUGGUGGACGGUACACGAGUGAGAAUGCAGGCAUGAGUAGCGAUACACACGUGAGAAACGUGUGCGCCGAUUGACUAAGGGUUCCUGGGUCAAGCUGAUCUGCCCAGGGUAAGUCGGGACCUAAGGCGAGGCCGACAGGCGUAGUCGAUGGACAACCGGUUGAUAUUCCGGUACCCGCUUUGAAACGCCCAAUACUGAAUCCUCUAAUGCUAAGGCCGUGAAGCCGCCCUGAUCUCUUCGGAGUUGAGGGUGGAGCCGCCGGCCCAAGGUGGUAGUAGGUAAGCGAUGGGGUGACGCAGGAAGGUAGUCCAGCCCGGGCGGUGGUUGUCCCGGGGUAAGGGUGUAGGCCGUGUGGCAGGUAAAUCCGUCACACAUUAAGGCUGAGACCUGAUGCCGAGCCGAUUGUGGUGAAGUGGAUGAUCCUAUGCUGUCGAGAAAAGCCUCUAGCGAGUUUCAUGGCGGCCCGUACCCUAAACCGACUCAGGUGGUCAGGUAGAGAAUACCGAGGCGUUCGGGUGAACUAUGGUUAAGGAACUCGGCAAAAUGCCCCCGUAACUUCGGGAGAAGGGGGGCCAUCACUGGUGAGAGGACUUGCUCCUUGAGCUGGGGGUGGCCGCAGAGACCAGCGAGAAGCGACUGUUUACUAAAAACACAGGUCCGUGCGAAGCCGUAAGGCGAUGUAUACGGACUGACGCCUGCCCGGUGCUGGAACGUUAAGGGGACCGGUUAGUGCGCUUUCGGGCGUGCGAAGCUGAGAACUUAAGCGCCAGUAAACGGCGGUGGUAACUAUAACCAUCCUAAGGUAGCGAAAUUCCUUGUCGGGUAAGUUCCGACCUGCACGAAUGGCGUAACGACUUCUCGACUGUCUCAACCAUAGGCCCGGUGAAAUUGCACUACGAGUAAAGAUGCUCGUUUCGCGCAGCAGGACGGAAAGACCCCGGGACCUUUACUACAGUUUGAUAUUGGUGUUCGGUUCGGCUUGUGUAGGAUAGGUGGGAGACUUUGAAGCGGCCACGCCAGUGGUUGUGGAGUCGCCGUUGAAAUACCACUCUGGUCGUGCUGGAUGUCUAACCUGGGUCCGUGAUCCGGAUCAGGGACAGUGUCUGAUGGGUAGUUUAACUGGGGCGGUUGCCUCCUAAAGAGUAACGGAGGCGCCCAAAGGUUCCCUCAGCCUGGUUGGCAAUCAGGUGUUGAGUGUAAGUGCACAAGGGAGCUUGACUGUGAGACCGACGGGUCGAGCAGGGACGAAAGUCGGGACUAGUGAUCCGGCGGUGGCUUGUGGAAGCGCCGUCGCUCAACGGAUAAAGGUACCCGGGAUAACAGGCUGAUCUUCCCCAAGAGUCCAUAUCGACGGGAUGGUUUGGCACCUCGAUGUCGGCUCGUCGCAUCCUGGGGCUGGAGUCGGUCCCAAGGGUUGGGCUGUUCGCCCAUUAAAGCGGUACGCGAGCUGGGUUUAGAACGUCGUGAGACAGUUCGGUCCCUAUCCGCUGCGCGCGCAGGAGUCUUGAGAAGGGCUGUCCCUAGUACGAGAGGACCGGGACGGACGAACCUCUGGUGUGCCAGUUGUCCUGCCAAGGGCAUGGCUGGUUGGCUACGUUCGGAAAGGAUAACCGCUGAAAGCAUCUAAGCGGGAAGCCUGCUUCGAGAUGAGGACUCCCACCUCCUAGAGAGGGUAAGGCUCCCAGUAGACGACUGGGUUGAUAGGCCGGAUAUGGAAGCACCGCAAGGUGUGGAGUUGACCGGUACUAAUAGGCCGAGGGCUUGUCCUCAGUUG
rnacentral:rRNA from 1 species